rnacentral:rRNA from 1 species
AGUGAACGCUGGCGGCGUGCCUAAUACAUGCAAGUCGAACGGACGAGUAAGAGCUUGCUCUUAUGAGUUAGUGGCGCACGGGUGAGUAAUGUAUAGCUAAUCUGCCCUACACUAGAGGACAACAGUUGGAAACGACUGCUAAUACUCUAUACUCCUCUCUAGCAUAAGUUAGAUAGGGAAAGUUUUUCGGUGUAGGAUGAGGCUAUAUUGUAUCAGCUAGUUGGUGAGGUAAUGGCUCACCAAGGCUAUGACGCAUAACUGGUCUGAGAGGAUGAUCAGUCACACUGGAACUGAGACACGGUCCAGACUCCUACGGGAGGCAGCAGUAGGGAAUAUUGCUCAAUGGGGGAAACCCUGAAGCAGCAACGCCGCGUGGAGGAUGACACUUUUCGGAGCGUAAACCCCUUUUGUUAGGGAAGAACAAUGACGGUACCUAACGAAUAAGCACCGGCUAACUCCGUGCCAGCAGCCGCGGUAAUACGGAGGGUGCAAGCGUUACUCGGAAUCACUGGGCGUAAAGGACGCGUAGGCGGAUUAUCAAGUCUCUUGUGAAAUCCUAUGGCUUAACCAUAGAACUGCUUGGGAAACUGAUAAUCUAGAGUGAGGGAGAGGCAGAUGGAAUUGGUGGGUGUAGGGGGUAAAAUCCGUAGAGAUCACCGGGAAUACCCAUUUGCGAAGGCGAUCUGCUGGAACUCAACUGACGCUGAUGCGUGAAAACGUGGGGAACAAACAGG